GGUAUGGUGCAGUUGGUUAGCGCGUCGGAUUGUGGUUCCGAAUGUCGUGGGUUCGAGUCCCACUACC
rnacentral:tRNA from 1 species